GACGAACGCUGGCGGCGUGCUUAACACAUGCAAGUCGAACGAUGAAGAAAAGAAUUGAAGCUUCGGCAGAAAUUCAUUUCGGAUUAGUGGCAGACGGGUGAGUAACGCGUGAGCAACCUACCUCUUACAAAGGGAUAGCCUCGGGAAACCGGGAUUAAUACCAUAUAACAUUGCGACGAAGCAUUUCGAUGCAAUCAAAGCUACGGCGGUAAGAGAUGGGCUCGCGUCCCAUUAACCAGAUGGUGAGGUAACGGCUCACCAUAGUAACGAUGGUUAACCGGCCAGAGAGAGGGAACGCUCACACUGAAGCUAAGACACGGUCCAGACUCCUACGGGAGGCAGCAGUGGGGAAUAUUGCACAAUGGAGGGAACGCUGAUGCAGCGACGCCGCGUGAGUGAUGAAGGAAUUCGUUUCGUAAAACGCUGUUCUAUGGGAAGAAAAGGACUGUACCAUAGGAGAAAGCUCCGGCUAAAUACGUG
rnacentral:rRNA from 1 species